AUAAAGGCUAUGAAGAGAAAAGUAGUUACUAUAGAAGCUUACAGAGAAGUUCCUGACGCUGAGAGGGAAUAGCGGAAAUUUUAACGAAACAAGGCUCGGAGCCGCAUACGGAUCUUAAUUCAUAUAGUAUGUUUGAGUAGACUAUAGUUUUGAAUAAAGUAUUUAUACAUUGUUCAAAAGUAUAUAUAGAACUUUCUUUUUGAGAUUUCCUCAUUCAUAGUUAACUGAAUUAAGUGAUGCUAUGACGUUUGUUCACGUUACAGAACUAGAGUAUAAUUUUGUACUCAAUAAGAUUAGUAUGGUGACAUACUAAUGAAAUAGGGUGGUACCGCGAUAUAAAUUCGCCCCUGCA
rnacentral:ncRNA from 1 species